AUCAGAAGUGCGAAUGCUGACAUAAGUAACGAUAAAGCGGGUGAAAAGCCCGCUCGCCGGAAGACCAAGGGUUCCUGUCCAACGUUAAUCGGGGCAGGGUGAGUCGACCCCUAAGGCGAGGCCGAAAGGCGUAGUCGAUGGGAAACAGGUUAAUAUUCCUGUACUUGGUGUUACUGCGAAGGGGGGACGGAGAAGGCUAUGUUGGCCGGGCGACGGUUGUCCCGGUUUAAGCGUGUAGGCUGGUUUUCCAGGCAAAUCCGGAAAAUCAAGGCUGAGGCGUGAUGACGAGGCACUACGGUGCUGAAGCAACAAAUGCCCUGCUUCCAGGAAAAGCCUCUAAGCAUCAGGUAACAUCAAAUCGUACCCCAAACCGACACAGGUGGUCAGGUAGAGAAUACCAAGGCGCUUGAGAGAACUCGGGUGAAGGAACUAGGCAAAAUGGUGCCGUAACUUCGGGAGAAGGCACGCUGAUAUGUAGGUGAAGUCCCUCGCGGAUGGAGCUGAAAUCAGUCGAAGAUACCAGCUGGCUGCAACUGUUUAUUAAAAACACAGCACUGUGCAAACACGAAAGUGGACGUAUACGGUGUGACGCCUGCCCGGUGCCGGAAGGUUAAUUGAUGGGGUUAGCCGCAAGGCGAAGCUCUUGAU
rnacentral:rRNA from 1 species